GUCCGCAGACAGACGAGAAGAAGCUGCUGAAUGCUCUCAGUGGAUCGUCUCGUCAACUCCAACAACAAACUGCCGAUAUCAACGAGCGGUUCGCUCCACUGGAGCGUUUGGGACUCUGCGGGUUUCUGUCCAUGGAGGAGAGGAACUGACUCAAAGAAGAGGAGACGGGCGCACAAUCCCAAGAUAGGGAAGCGGUGCGCCGUCUCCACAACACCGAGACGAAUUACAGGCGCUACGAACCGGAGCAAGGACUAAUCUCGCCUCAUAAUGAGGCGGUGACCUUGUAUUUGCUCCGGGAAAAGUCCAGAUUUAGACGACGUCAUUGUGUCCGCCUGUAAGACGUAUUUUGAGACGGGACGCAGGAGCUUCAGGUUCAGCCGGAACACUCAUUGCGGGCGGAAGCUGCGAAGGAUUCAGCGCGGAGUCAAGCGAGAAGAAAGAGGCUGCUGGAAUCGAGACAAAGUGUGCUGGCUGAUGGUGGAACUCUGGAAAUCCACCACCGUAGAGCUCACGUCGGACGGAGAGGAUGGCGUUGUUGGCGGUGUCUCGGGGUGGAUUGUACGGUCGCCGCAAUUUCUGAGUCAGUCCCGGUUAGAGGCGACUCAGAAAUACAGAGCCACACACACUAGGCGCCUGCACAACAGACCUGCCUCGGAAAACACGGCGCAAGUGACGGUCAACAACCCCGAGGAGGCAAACGGACAGUUUACUGAGCUGUAGUUUUUUAAACCGCCUUUACCCAAGUGUGGGCAGAUCCUCACUUUGUAUGUAGUUGUUGAUUGUGUGUUGUUAAUAAAGCUCUUUCUUUGCA
ensembl:lncRNA